GCCGACCGAACUGCUCGCGCAAAAGCUGCGCGAGCGGCUGGCCGCGAACACGAUGUCAGGCGGCGCGCGAGCGGCGGAAGCCGAAGACGCGCGCUGGAGAGCGAACGAGCAGGAAGUCCGGUCUGCUCAGGCUCAGUGGAUGCGCCUGGGACCCGUGCCGCCGCAGGUAGCCGGUCCGCUCAACGAGCGAUUCCAGCGAGCCUGCCGUCGCUUCUUCGAUCAGCGUCGACGCGCGUCGUAGCCCUUCGGACUAAGCUUCCUUCAUGAUUCGAACUCUCAUUCGGAGUCUCGGUAUUGGUGUGCUUUGCGCGCCAAUGCUGCUCGCGCAGGCCGAAGGGCCGACGCUUCAGCCGUUGUGGACGCUCGCGAGCGACUUUGCGUCACCCGAGAGCGCCUAUUACCACGCGCCAUCGAACUCGAUCUUCGUGUCGUCGAUCAACGGCCAGAUCCUCGAGAAGGAUGGGAACGGCUACAUCUCGCGCCUCUCGCCCGACGGCAAGAUGGUCAGUGCGAAAUGGGUGACCGGUCUCAACGCGCCCAAGGGCAUUCGCAGCCUGGGCGGCACGCUCUGGGUGACCGACAUCGACGAGGUCGUGUCGAUCGACAUCGCGACUGCGCGCAUCGCGGCGCACGUGAAGGUCGAUGGCGCGAUGUUCCUCAACGAUCUCGCGACGGCGCAGGACGGAACCGUGUACGCGUCGGACUCGAACCUGGCGCGCAUCUACGCAGUCAAGGAUGGCAAGUCAUCGGUCUUCGUUGAGGGCGCCGAUCAAGUUGAUGUCCCGAAUGGACUGCUCGUGGAUGGGACGCGCCUGGUGCUUGGAACGAUCGGUGUCGGCGGCGCGCGCGGACGAGGGCCGGGUCGUGGCGGACCGCCACCGAGCGGGCACCUCUACGCCUUCGAUCUCGCGACCAGGCAGCGCACACAACUCACGAUCGACCCGGUCGGCGGGAUUGACGGGAUCGAACCGGACGGUAGCGGCGGUUUGCUGAUCACAGACGUCAUCGGUGCGCUACUUCUGCAUGUGGCCCCGUCGGGGCAAACGCGAGUGCUGGCGAAGUUUUCAGGCGGGGGAGCCGACUUCGGCUACAUCGGAGCGAAGCGAAUCGCAGUCGUGCCGUUUCUCAAUGCCAACACGGUCUCUGCCUACGACCUGACGUCUUCUUUGAAGUAGGGGUCAACUCCCAACCUCCAAGUAUCCAAUUCCCAAGGAAUCAAGCUUCUUGGGAGUUGGGAGUUGGUAAUUGGAAGUUAACUAGCCUUCCAGAUACGUGUAUCCGUGCAGGCCGUCUUCGUAGAAGCGAAGAAGCCUGCCGGCGCCCUCGUAGUCCACGCGUCCUUCACGCACCGCGGUCUCGACGUCCGUC
rnacentral:misc_RNA from 1 species